UAGAAGGUUCUGGGCUAGCGACCCACGAGAGAGACCAGACAACCCGGAUUCUUGACCCAGAAACUCGCGAAGAAGAUCAGGCCGUAUCUUCGCAGUCCGACCACCGCACGACGGUGCAUGGGUGCCACCUUGCUCGCCUCGCCAUUGCCGACACGCUGUUAGUCGUGGUUCAGCUACACGUUAAGCGAGGAGGGAGAAUCGUCGCUGAAAAAUCAAGGCAGCGGCGGUGGUUUUUAGGCAUUUUCCGGCCACUCCAGCGACGUUUUGUGUUUCACGAGGUAGGAAAAAUAAUCUCUCUUCAAGGUCUACGUCGUGCUAUGAUUAGGCUUUGAAUUGGAUUAUGUUUUUAACAAAUUGUGUUUUGGGUUGAUUCAAACGCCGCUGUGGAGGCCGUCGCCGGAAGCUAUUCUGGGUUCUCUGAUUCAUUCGUGACGUCCUAAAGUACAAUUUGAAGUUUGGUCUAGCUUCAUCCACCGUACUGGUUAUACUAGGAGCUUUGAGUUGCUCGAAUUGCUCUGAGGUGCGAGCAGAGAAGGUUGCUGAUCCAGGAGUUUUGUUUGGGUUUAAGACACCGCUCUAAAUUCACCAGAGUGUUCAAAGAAUGGAAAUACAUCAAAUCUUUAUCAGAUGAUUUCUGUCAAUUUGGUUACUAUUUAGAAUAAAACCAAGCAAGUAAGUGUUGGAAAAGGAAAGGAAGGGAAAGCGAAGCCCAGAAGCUCCUCGGGUUUCCCGGUGUAGUUUCCGAUUCCGGCCAUGUCGCGGUGCUGCAGCCGUGGCAGAAGCUUCGUCUAGACAUCCUGGACGUCCCUGUGGUGUCAGAUUUUCCCAAAAAACGAAGCAUGAGAGAGAAUUGAGGAUUCAAAGCUUUUUGGGGUUUCGGGCGAGUUUUCUCUGUUUUCCGGCAAUUCUAGCCACCAUCGACGACCAUCCACAACAUCAAUCUUCAUUUCCUCUUCAUGCUCUACAGGUUUAUGUUCUUGAUUUUCAGUUUUGAUUCUGAUUGGAGGAAUUGAGAUUUUGGGGUUUUUGAGCUUAUUACGGGUUCUCUGAUUUCUGUGGAACUUUUGGUUUUCUUUGGUUAAGUCGUGAUUGCAGCACAUACUUCUUUAUAGGAAUUGAUCAGUUGUUAUCCCUCAAAUCCGAACACUUGCAGAAUUGGAGAAGGCUUCAAGUUUACUGGGUAUUGCCGUAUUGUUGAGCUAUGGUUGAUGUUAGUGAGAUGGGAUGUCAUAUAGUUCAAACUGUUGAAAGGAGAAGUUUGGAAAGCUCGGCAUUUUUUUUUUUAAUAGAAUCGGAUAAUGAUGAUUAGAUAGAGGGAGAACAGUAAUUGCUGUCAAGAUGUCUGAAACCGCAAAGAUGGAGUCGAAUUUUAGAUGAGAGGAUUUAGUCGAAAAUGGAACUCUUGGGUGUCAAGAGUAAUUUGAAGUACUUCAGUGACGAUCAUUGAUUAAGGAUUCAAUUCGUGAAUUGAAUGAUUACCGGCAGAAGCAGAAGCAGAAGGAUACGGAUUUCAUAAUGUGAGUCCCAAUGUUAGCAACUCUUAGCAGCGUUGCAGUUAAUGCUUGAAUUUGCAUGUAGGGUCUCUCGGGAACCUUUUCUAUUGAAAUGAUAAAUAGAAUUAUUAUUGAAAUUGGUGA